rnacentral:tRNA from 1 species
UAAGACUUAUAGGACCACCUAUAUCAUCUGAAUGCAACUCAGACAUUUUCAUUAAACUAAAGCCUA